AGUCUGAAAAAGGGGAAGUUGGGGACUGAGAUUGUCCCUAUGGUAUUUGUAUCUGGUCAUAAUUCACCGGCAUAUUCCGAUCGCCGGACGACGAAAAGCCAUCCAUUUCCUCCAUCUCCGGCAACUGGAUGACUUCUAGAAAGAGCAAAAAUUAAGUAGUUCAAGCUGCAAUUUGCUAAAAUCAGAGUUUGGUAGGGUUUAAUUUGACUUUGAUAUUGUUAGGAUUCUCCAUGGAAGUACCUGGUAGACGUUCGAAUUAUGCGAUGUUACAGCAGCAACCACCAUACGAUGAGUUUAAUUCAGACGGGAAGAGCAAAAGUAGAAGUGAUAAGGGAUUAUAUUGGGACUUGAUUGAUCGCCAAAUAGGUACGACGCCGUUUCAAGCCUCAAUUGUGUUACCGACGCAGUCAAGUGAGGGUAGCUUUGCUGAAAGUUCAAUUUCUGGAGUUUCAUUUGGGCAUAUGAAUGCUAAUUCAGGUGGUGGAGGUUCGUUGUCCAAAAGUUGGGCUCAACAGACAGAGGAGAGCUACCAGCUGCAGUUGACGUUAGCUCUGAGGAUCUCUACUGAAGCAACCUGCGCUGAUGAUCCCAAUUUGUUGGAUUAUGUGCCAGAUGAAUCAGUAUCCCAUGCUUCAGCUUCAGCUUCAUCUGCAUCAGUGGAGGCAAUGUCUCAUCGAUUCUGGGUAAAUGGGUGCUUAUCAUACUUUGACAAAGUCCCCGAUGGAUUUUAUUUGAUUCAGGGGAUGGAUCCAUAUAUCUGGACACUCUGCUCAGAUCUGCAAGAAAGUGGUCGUAUCCCAUCAAUUGAAUCCCUGAAGGCUGUUGAUCCCUCUGUAGUACCAUCAGUUGAAGUGAUUUUGAUUGAUCGGCGAAGUGAUCCCAGGUUAAAGGAACUACAAAAUCAAAUUCAUAGCAUGUACCGUAGUUGCAACACCACAAAAGAGGUGGUUGAUCAGCUUGCAAAGUUGAUCUGCAAUCACAUGGGAGGCGCAGCUUCUGUCAGAGAAGGUGACUUCAUUCCUAUCUGGAAGGAGUGCUGUAAUGAUCUGAAGAAUUGUAUAGGAUCCAUUGUGUUUCCCAUUGGUAGCCUUUCUGUUGGCCUUUGUGGACAUCGCGCAUUGCUGUUUAAAGUUCUGGCGGACAUCAUUGAUUUACCAUGUCGAAUUGCCAGAGGAUGUAAAUAUUGUAAAAGAUCCGAUGCUUUCUCAUGUCUAGUUCGAUUUGGCCUUGACAGGGAAUACUUGGUUGAUUUGAUUCAGGAUCCAGGAUGUUUAUCUGAACCAAAUUCAUUGCUCAAUGGUCCAUCUUCCAUCUCGAUUUCUUCACCAUUGCGCCUUCCGAGAUUUGGACAAGUUGAACCUGCCAUGGAUUUCACGUCACUGGCCAAACAGUAUUUUUCGGAUUGUCUAUCACUUAAUCUGGUCUUUGAUGAUUCUUCAACAGGAACUGCAGUUGAUGGGGAUGCUGGACAAACGGACAGAAGUUCCAUGGAUAGAAGCAGUGCAGUUCCUAGUUCAAGCAAUCGUGAUGAAGUUUCACGGUUACCUCUGCCUCCAAUAAAUGCAUGGAAUAAGGGAUGUGAUAAAGGCUCUCAACUUCCUGCAUUAUAUCAUCCUCCAAAUAUGUCUACCUCAAUGCGCCAGGAAGAGGAUUUGAUUCAUUUGAAAAACGUCCCUCCAAUUAGGUAUGGAGAUGCUCAACUGAUUGCAAUAUCUGAGGCAAGGACACAUACCAUUAAUGACCAGAGGUACUUUGAGGGAGGAGGGAGACUUUCUCCUGCUAAACCAAGUCGAGAACUUGUUCUUGAUGUAGAAGAUCUGGUUAUUUCCUGGAAUGAUCUGGUUCUGAAGGAGAGAAUUGGGGCAGGGUCUUUUGGUACUGUUCACCGUGCUGACUGGAAUGGCUCUGAUGUUGCUGUGAAAAUUCUCAUGGAACAGGAUUUUCAUGCAGAGCGAUACAAGGAAUUUUUGCAAGAGGUUGCAAUUAUGAAGCCGUUGCGACAUCCAAAUAUUGUGCUUUUCAUGGGUGCUGUUACUGAGCCACCAAACUUGUCUAUAGUUACAGAAUAUUUAUCAAGAGGUAGCUUAUAUAGGCUUCUUCAUAAACCUGGUGCGAGAGAGGUAUUGGAUGAAAGGCGUCGGUUGUGUAUGGCUUAUGAUGUGGCAAAGGGGAUGAAUUAUCUUCACAAACGCAAACCACCCGUUGUUCACCGUGAUUUAAAAUCUCCAAAUCUUCUGGUGGAUAAAAAAUAUACAGUGAAGGUCUGUGAUUUUGGUCUUUCUCGAUUAAAAGCUAAUACAUUUUUGUCAUCAAAGUCAGCUGCCGGGACUCCAGAAUGGAUGGCACCUGAAGUUCUCCGUGAUGAGCCGUCAAAUGAGAAAUCUGAUAUAUACAGCUUUGGUGUCAUCUUGUGGGAGCUGGCAACAUUGCAACAACCUUGGAGUAAUUUGAAUCCACCACAGGUAGUAGCAGCUGUUGGCUUUAAGGGUAUGAGGCUUGAAAUUCCACGUGACUUGAAUCAUCCGGUGACAACUAUUAUUGAAGCUUGCUGGGUGAAUGAGCCGUGGAAACGCCCCUCUUUUUCCACUAUCAUGGAUAUGUUGAGACCGCUCAUAUAGCUCUUGCAACACAACCAGAUUGUACAGACAUGCAGUUCCUCACGUAAAUGCUGUAGUAAAUGCUUGUAUUCUGUACAUAUUAGUUCUAACUUCUGACUCCCUGUGGAGGAUACCAAUUCUUUUCGCAAUUCAAGCAACUGUCUUCACCUUACAGAAGAAACAUUUGCACUUCGUAUUUGGCCUUAGUGAUGCUGUUGAUGCUAGCAAUCAUGAAUUUCUGCAUCUGUCCAGGGUUGAUUUUGUAUAUGCCAGAACUAUAAUAUCGGACGUUGUAAUAUAUACGUAAAUAAUAUUCUCUUCGGCGGCUAAAUAAGCUAGCAAUCUUUUCCCAUUGAUGAUCACAAUUAACAA